rnacentral:rRNA from 1 species
AUUGAACGCUGGCGGCAGGCCUAACACAUGCAAGUCGAGCGAGUGGCGGACGGGUGAGUAAUGUCUGGGGAUCUGCCUGAUAGAGGGGGAUAACUACUGGAAACGGUAGCUAAUACCGCAUACCAUCAGAUGAACCCCUAUGGGAUUAGCUAGUUGGGGGGGUAAAGGCUCACCUAGGCGACGAUCCCUAGCUGGUCUUAGAGGAUGACCAGCCACACUGGAACUUAGAAACGGCCCAGACUCCUACGGGAGGCAGCAGUGGGGAAUCUUGAGCAAUGGGAGAAAGUCUGAUCGAGCAACGCCGAGUGAGUGAAGAAGGUUUUCGGGUCGUAAAACUCUGUUAUUAGGGAAGCGGUAUCUGACCAGGAAGCAACGGCUAACUCCGUGCCAGCAGCCGCGGUAAUAC